UCAGGAAUCAGGAAUCAGGAAUCAGGAAUCAGGAUCAAAGAGGAGGCAAUCCUAAAGUCCAUAAACCAAGAAGCAGUCAAGAGCAGGUUCCCAGGAGGCCCUGAUGUGUGCAGUAACUCAACAGACACUGAGAAUAGAAAUGGCAUUGCUGUGGGGCAGAAGAAAUGAGGUUUUCAAACCCUGUUGUGAAGAUGAGCAGGGUCCAGGAAAGUGCACAACAAGGGAGAAGUGAUGGGCUAUGUAGGCCUGUGCUGGAGAUUCAGUGGUCACGGGCAAUUGGACGAAAGGUGUGUCCCUCACUCGCCACAGCACAUGGAGGCCACAGGCUGCAGUCUCUGAGAGCUGAAAAAUCACUGGACAACUAAUCCCUCCCUACCCUUUCAU